rnacentral:rRNA from 1 species
AGAGGGUGCGAGCGUUAAUCGGAAUUACUGGGCGUAAAGGGCACGUAGGCGGUCAAAUCAGUCAGCUGUGAAAGCCCUGGGCUUAACCUGGGAAUGGCAGCUGAUACUGUUUGACUAGAGUAUGGUAGAGGGUAGUGGAAUUUCCGGUGUAGCGGUGAAAUGCGUAGAUAUCGGAAGGAACAUCAGUGGCGAAGGCGACUGCCUGGACCAAUACUGACGCUGAGGUGCGAAAGCGUGGGGGGAGCGAACAGGAUUAGAUACCCUGGUAGUCCACGCCCGUAAACGAUGAGUACUAGCCGUUGGGAGGGGUAGACCUCUUAGUGGCGCAGCUAACGCGAUAAGUACUCCGCCUGGGAUUACGGCCGCAAGGCUA